AUUGAACGCUGGCGGCAUGCCUUACACAUGCAAGUCGAACGGUAACGCGGGGCAACCUGGCGACGAGUGGCGAACGGGUGAGUAAUAUAUCGGAACGUGCCCAGUAGUGGGGGAUAGCCCGGCGAAAGCCGGAUUAAUACCGCAUACGACCUGAGGGUGAAAGCGGGGGAUCGCAAGACCUCGCGCUAUUGGAGCGGCCGAUAUCAGAUUAGCCAGUUGGUGGGGUAAAAGCCUACCAAGGCGACGAUCUGUAGCUGGUCUGAGAGGACGACCAGCCACACUGGGACUGAGACACGGCCCAGACUCCUACGGGAGGCAGCAGUGGGGAAUUUUGGACAAUGGGCGCAAGCCUGAUCCAGCCAUGCCGCGUGCGGGAAGAAGGCCUUCGGGUUGUAAACCGCUUUUGUCAGGGAAGAAACGCGCUGAGCUAAUACCUCGGCGUAAUGACGGUACCUGAAGAAUAAGCACCGGCUAACUACGUGCCAGCAGCCGCCGUAACAC
rnacentral:rRNA from 1 species